GGGGAUGUGGCUCAGUGGUAGAGUGCGUGCCUAGCUUGCGAGAGGCCCUGGGUUCCAUCCCCAGCACCAUCA
rnacentral:tRNA from 1 species